rnacentral:lncRNA from 1 species
CUUUGUUCCCUCCAUCCUUCUAGCUGGCACUUUCUUACUAUGUCGAGUAGAAGGGCCAACGCUAGGCUGAGUCUCUUGAACUGUAGGUUGGGAUCCUGUCAUGUCAAUCUCCAUCUGCCCAACUUGAGGUUGCGUUGGAUUUGGAUUGAUUGGAACCCCUCUAUAGUCAUUCAUGAACGGCUGGUAUAAUGUAUUGAACCAUGUGUCAUACAUGGUUCUUAACUCAGGUGGAUGUCCAAUUGACAACAACUUUU